rnacentral:rRNA from 1 species
GACGAACGCUGGCGGCGUGCUUAACACAUGCAAGUCGAGCGAUGAAGCACCUUCGGGUGUGAAUUAGCGGCGAACGGGUGAGGAACACGUGAGAAAUCUGCCUUCAACUCUGGGAUAACUCCGGGAAACCGGGGCUAAUACCGGAUAUGAGCCUUGAUCGCAUGAUCGGGGCUGGAAAGUUUUUCGGUUGAAGAUGAUCUCGCGGCCUAUCAGCUUGUUGGUGAGGUAAUGGCUCACCAAGGCGACGACGGGUAGCCGGCCUGAGAGGGCGACCGGCCACACUGGGACUGAGACACGGCCCAGACUCCUACGGGAGGCAGCAGUGGGGAAUAUUGGGCAAUGGAGGAAACUCUGACCCAGCGACGCCGCGUGAGGGAUGAAGGCCUUCGGGUUGUAAACCUCUUUCAGUAGGGAAGAAGCGAAAGUGACGGUACCUACAGAAGAAGCACCGGCUAACUAUGUGCCAGCCGCCGCGGUAA